AUUAAAUGAGAGUUUGAUCCUGGCUCAGGACGAACGCUGGCGGCGUGCCUAAUACAUGCAAGUAGAACGCUGAAGACUUUA
rnacentral:rRNA from 1 species